GUCCAGGUGAAAGGUUGUAGGCAUGCAUCUUAGGCAAAUCCGGGGUGCUCUAUGCUGAGAACUGAUAGCAAGCGAGUUUACUCGUGAAGUGGCUGAUACUAUGCUUCCAGGAAAAGUCUCUAAGCUUCAGUUACACAGGAAUCGUACCCGAAACCGACACAGGUGGUCAGGUCGAGUAGACCAAAGCGCUUGAGAGAACUCUGCUGAAGGAACUAGGCAAAAUGGUACCGUAACUUCGGGAGAAGGUACGCUGCUGACGGUGAUAGGACUUGCUCCUUGAGCUAUUGGCAGCCACAGAAACCAGGCCCCUGCAACUGUUUAUUAAAAACAUAGCACUCUGCAAACACGAAAGUGGACGUAUAGGGUGUGAUGCCUGCCCGGUGCUGGAAGGUUAAUUGAUGGGGUUAGCGUAAGCGAAGCUCUUGAUCGAAGCCCCAGUAAACGGCGGCCGUAACUAUAACGGUCCUAAGGUAGCGAAAUUCCUUGUCGGGUAAGUUCCGACCUGCACGAAUGGCAUAAUGAUGGGGGCGCUGUCUCCAGCAGAGGCUCAGUGAAAUCGAAAUCGCCGUGAAGAUGCGGUGUACCCGCGGCUAGACGGAAAGACCCCGUGAACCUUUACUGCAGCUUGACAUUGAACUUUGAUCUUACUUGUGUAGGAUAGGUGGGAGGCUUAGAAGUAGCGACGCCAGUUGCUAUGGAGCCAUCCUUGAAAUACCACCCUGGUAAUAUUGAGGUUCUAACUCUGUCCCGUUAUCCGGGACGAGGACCAUGUCUGGUGGGUAGUUUGACUGGGGCGGUCUCCUCCUAAAGAGUAACGGAGGAGUACGAAGGUGCGCUCAGCGUGGUCGGAAAUCACGCGUAGAGUAUAAAGGCAAAAGCGCGCUUAACUGCGAGACCCACAAGUCGAGCAGGUACGAAAGUAGGUCUUAGUGAUCCGGUGGUUCUGUAUGGAAGGGCCAUCGCUCAACGGAUAAAAGGUACUCUGGGGAUAACAGGCUGAUACCGCCCAAGAGUUCAUAUCGACGGCGGUGUUUGGCACCUCGAUGUCGGCUCAUCUCAUCCUGGGGCUGAAGCAGGUCCCAAGGGUAUGGCUGUUCGCCAUUUAAAGAGGUACGCGAGCUGGGUUUAGAACGUCGUGAGACAGUUCGGUCCCUAUCUACCGUGGGCGUUGGAAAUUUGAGAGGAUCUGCUCCUAGUACGAGAGGACCAGAGUGGACGAACCUCUGGUGUACCGGUUGUGACGCCAGUCGCAUCGCCGGGUAGCUAUGUUCGGAAGGGAUAACCGCUGAAAGCAUCUAAGCGGGAAGCCUACCUCAAGAUAAGAUUUCCCUAGGACUUUAUGUCCUCUAAAGAGCCGUUGAAGACUACGACGUUGAUAGGUUGGAUGUGGAAGUGCGGUGACGCAUGAAGCUGACCAAUACUAAUUGCUCGUGAGGCUUGACUAU
rnacentral:rRNA from 1 species